CGUCCAAAAGUACUUCAAAGAAUGCACCAUCCCUGUGGCGGCUUUUCUGCGAGCAACCUCUCUUCUGCCUCUGAUAGGACAGCUGACUUUCAGCCACGAGUGAGAAAUACUCUGGAAAAGAAAAUGCUUGUAGAACAAAUGACUUUGUGAACACGAAUUCUGGGAUCGCAUUAAGAAAAUUAGGAUGCAUAAACCGGGCACGGUGGCUCACGCCUGUAAUCCCAGCACUUUGGGAGGCUGAGGCAAGUGGAUCACCUGAGGUCAGGAGUUCGAGACCAGCCUGGUCAACAUGGUGAAACCAAGUCUUUACUAAAAAUAAAAAAAAUUAGCCAGGUGUGGUGGUGGGCGCCUGUAAUCCCAGCUACUCCAGAGGCUGAGGCAAGAGAAUUGCUUGAACCCAGGAGGCAGAGGUUGCAGUGAGCUGAGAUCACACCACUGCACUCCAGCCUGGGUGACAGAGCGAGACUCCAUCUCAAAACAAAAAAAAAAGAAAGAAAAUUAGGAUGCAUAGGCUGGAAAGGGAAAGGUGGUGGGGGGGGGGGCGCAUUUAAAAAGUGGCAAAUGAGAAAUUACGGCAUUGCAUCUUCUGUGGUUUGUUCAAGAGAAUAGGAAGUCACCUGCUGCGUGAGUGGGCAGGUGGGGUCUGGUAGAUGGUGCUGGUGUAGGUGACGAAAAUACUCAGAUAUGAAAUGGUGGCAGCAGUGUAAAAGGGCAGGAGCCUUUUGUAAACUGCCUUAUAAAUUAAAAAAAAAAAUGUAGACUGGGUGCGGUGGCUCAUGGCUGUAAUCUCAACACUUUGGGAGGCCAAGGUGGGUGGAUCACUUGAGGUCAGGAGUUGGAGAUCAGCCUGGCCAACAUAGUGAAACCCUGUCUCUACUAAAAACACAAAAUCAGCCAGGUGUGCUGGUGCAUGCCUGUAAUUCCAGCUACUCUGGAGGCUGAGGCAGGAGAAUCGCUUGAACCUGGGAGGCGGAGGUUGCAGUGAGCCGUGAUUGUGCCACUGCACUCCAGCCUGGGCAACAAGAGAGAGAAAAAAACUCUGUCUCAGAGAGAGAGAGAGACAGAGAGAGAGAAAGGAAAGGAAGGGAAGGGGAGGGGAGGGGAGGGAAGAGAGAGAGAGAGAAAGAGAAAGAAAGAAAGAGAGACAGAAAGAGAGAAAGGAAGGAAGAAAGAAAGAAAGAAAAAGAGAAAGAAAGAGAAAGAAAGAAAGAGAGAAAGAAGUAAAGUCAAUGAUAAAGCAAGCAACACUUGAAUAUUACAAAAAUUGUGUAGGAGUCUAUGAAUGGUGGUAAUGUGGGAAACCUUGUCUUUAGAAAUCACCCAUUUCCCUUGAGGUCUCCUAGAUCAAGUCCAAAUAGUAUUAUAUUCUCCACGUUAGGACUGCCUUGAACUUCAGUUCACUUGAUUUUCCAAUCGCCUUGGCCCAUUCUCCACCUGCCUUCUCUCCUCUCCGCUGUGUUGGUGAAGCAAGCCCUGCUCCUGCCUUCCUCUCCUUUCUCCCUCCCUCCCCAGCAUUGGGAGUCUUGGGGCUCUGACGGGGGUCCCGCGAAGUCCCAGUGCUGUAAAUAGUGCCUGCCAUACCUUGAUGGAAUGUUCCAUACGAGCUACUGUUAUUAGGUGUGUUCCCCUUAUGGCUUUUCAAAAUAAAGUAAAAUAACACCGGCUUAGUUCUGAAAGGAACCCAGCCCUCCUUCUUUCUUUCCAAUCCGACUUGUGUGUCUACAUUUAAUUAAUUGGGCUUGUAGCUCAUAGAUCCUCUGAUUUGCACAAACAAUUAAGUGUAAUUACUUGGGAACACCCAUAAGGGCUCAUAAUCUAUUAUGCUUGGCAAAUUUGGCCAAACAAAAUUAGAGAUGCCGUUUCCAAAUCUGGUUCUGCUAUGUCUACUGUGCUCAUUCUUGGAAUAAACAUGCAAAGCAGAGUUGAUUUACACGUUCGGCCUUUGAUGACAUUGUGAUGUUGCAUCAUUUCUUCCAGGGCUAGAUGCCUUGUUUUCAGAAAGACUAAAGCCUUCUCUGUCCAAUUUUACUCAGUUCAUUUCACCAGAUACAUGGGACACCUUCAAGGACCAUACUUUGUUUCAAGCCCCCUUCCCCAACACACCAUGUACUAAGCACUCUGCAAGGUGCUCCAUGGGCAACUACCUUGUCCCAUCUUGAUCACUUCCAGAUGUUCAUUGCCCAGGAGACAAUUUUCAGCUUUAUAUUUUUUUGAAAUGAGUAUGUGGACACUUCUGAAAUCAAUUUUUCUUGUUGCCAUCGUUGCUAAUGUGAUUUCAUUUUACGUGCUCUGCUUGGCUUCCUGAUGAAUUUAUUCUUUGCACUUUCCUUGGAAUUUCUGAGUCAUAAAAAUUAGAGACUCCAUAUCCCCAGAGGUGAUGCCUUAUCAGACCUGUGCUGAGGACACUGGCCUUGCCUACAUGUGUGGUGAGUGGGUUGGGCUUUAUGGAGAAGCUGAAAACGUGGGAGAAGGGGCUGGUAAUCUAGAUCUCUAGGCUAGGGCUCCUAAUAUUGGAGGGUGGGGGUAGUUUAUGGCUCCUUUUGUAAAGUUAGAUAGUGGGCCAAAGAUAGAAGUUUGUGGAAAGCAGACAAAAGGAAGCAAGAGGCCAGGCAUGGUGGCUCACACCUGUAAUCUCAGCACAUUGGGAGGCUGAGGCGGGUGGAUCACCUAAGGUCAGGAGUUCAAGACCAGCCUGGCCAACAUGAUGAAACCCCAUCUCUACUAAAAAUACAAAAAUUAGACGGGUAUGGUGGCAGGUGCCUGUAAUCCCAGCUACUUGGGAGGCUGAGGCAGGAGAAUCACUUGAACCCGGGAGGCAGAGGUUACAGUGAGCCAAGAUUGUGCCACUGCACUCCAGCCUGGGCAACAAGAGCGAAACUCUGUCACAAAAACAAACAAAAAGAAAAAAACGGUGGGUGGGUAGCAAGAGUUGGCAAGUGGUUGUCUUCAGGGAAAGAGAGGACUGCUAUGUCUUCAUCACCUCAGGGAAGAGAGUCUUGCAGCAGGGCACAAAAGCCUUCAUUAAAAAAAAGACUUGGCCGGGCAUGGUGGCUCACACCUGUAAUUCCAGCACUUUGGGAGGCCGAGGUGGGCGGAUCACAAGGUCAAGAGAUUGACCUGUCCUGGCCAACAUGGUGAAACCCCAUCUCUACUAAAAAUACAAAAACUAGCUGGGUGUGGUGGCGCACACCUGUAGUCCCAGCUACUUGGGAGGUUGAAGCAGAAGAACUGCUUGAACCUGGGAGGCAGAGGUUGCAGUGAGCCGAGAUCACGCCACUGCACUCCAGCCUGGGCGACAGAGGGAGAUUCCGUCUCAAGAAAAAAAAAAAAAAGAAAAGAAUUAAUGCAGAUCAGAUUAGGCAAAUCAGUACAGAUGGGGACAGCCACACCUAACCUGGAGAAAGUAAGGGGACACUGUCUCAUCCUCCACUCAGGGACCACUCCACAUUUAGUACAAAGCACUUGUGCCAGUCAACCUUACCGGGUAAUGACGGAACUCCAAGCAAGUCACUUAGCCUCUGCCAGUCUCAGUCAAGCCAUCCAUAAACUGGGAACAGUCAGAGCCAGGCUGCGUGGUGGAGCCAUUUCCAAAGCCCCUGCUAUCUCCCCACCUCCCAGUUCUACCAACAUUAAUUGCUUUUGCCCCAUUUUACUUUUAAAUUUUAAAUCAAUUUAAUAGUUAUGUUUUACAAUUACUAUGAAUUCUACAAUUACACAAAUAACACGCACAUAUAUUCUCCAUGUAAAAACAAACACACAUUACAGACAAAGCUGAAGUUUCCUUUGGUCAUUGUCAUUAAUUUGUUGUGGACUUUCAAACCUUUUUGCAUGUGAUAAAUAUAAUUAUGUUUAUAUUUAAAGUGUAAUUGAUAUCAAAUGGCACAUAUUUCACAAGUUUUUUUAUUCAUUCAUCAUGCCCUAGAGAUCUUUCCCUGGUGGUAAUUUCAUAUUUAUAUCAUUCUGUUUAAAAAUGUUACAGUAUGAUUGUGCCAUAAAUGUUUUAUUCCCAUGGAUGGACAUUUAGACUGUUUUCCGCUAAUUUGGAAGACCUUGUGAGGGGUGGGAGGAAUGGAGCAGGAGUCUGUCCCCUCUAUGAGCUUAUUUACAAGAAUUUUGUCUCAACCAAGUUUAUUUCCCUGGCAGGCCCUUCAUCGGGAGACUGGCAAGAGAAGCACAGUUUGAGUUCAGUGAAAGGUCUGAGACAGGAUGACCCUGUUUUUAGGAAGCAUGCAGUAGAAGACCUAAGAAUGCAUGAAAACAAUAAAACAUCUUAGAUCCUUAGAAUAAACAAAGGAGACAAAGACAAAAUGAUCUCUUUGCUCCUCGGACAGAUCCUAAUUAAGUUAAGGUAGAUGAAGAAAUUAGGAUCAGGAGAUAAACGGGAUAAGGCCCUGCCCUCAACAUGCUUGCCAUUUAAUGAAGAGGAACCCAGGGAGAUAAGAUAUGUAGACAGAGGAAUGUGGGCCAUGCACUCAGAGCUGCAGAGACACAGAGCUAAGAGGGAAUAGGGAGUGCUUGCUUGCAGAGAUGAAACUUGCAAAGAAAGGAAGCUUCUAACUGAGUUAGAAGCGAGGGAAAGAAGAGAUGGAUGAAGGCCUGGGGAGCUAGAAAGAGAAAGAUUCCAGGAAAGAAGAAAGUGAUCUAAGUUAGCACUUCUCCAACUUGAAUAUGCACGGGUCACACCAGGGAUCUUAGAACGAAGCAAAUCCUGACCCAGUUAAUCUGGGAUGGGGUCCAAGAUAUUCUGCGUUUCUGUAAUGCCUCUGGUUCCUGGACCCCUCAUGGUACAGAGGGAGGACGCCCUGGCUAUAUUUGGAGGCCUCAGGCUAGAACUAAAAAUGAUAGGAAUUUGACAUUAAAAUUGUGAUCAAAUUCCAGAGGGACAUGAACAUCAGAAUGACUUGAUAACAUUGCUUGUUUUGAGCUUUUCCUUCAAAUUUUAGCCCCUGAUGUGGUUUGUUUACGGUAACAACAACAGGAAUACUCACUGAGCCACUACUACAUACAGGCACUUUGCUCAGUGCUGGAAAUACAGCAGUGAUCCAUGGACCAAAAUCCCUGUUCUAGUGCAGAUGACAUUCUUUCUAAUGAGGUGAGAAAGAUAAUAAGCAACACAAAUAAUAAAUAAGUAAGUGACUUAGUGUUAGUGAUAAAUACUAUGGAAACAAUAGAGCAAUUAAAAAGGAAUAGAAUGGCCAGGAUGAAUUUUAUUUUUAAGUAAGGUGGUCAAGGUAGGCCUUAGUGACUUGCAUAAAGAUGUGAGGGCGAUAAAGGGGUUAACCAUGCGGGUAAUGAGGUAACAGCAUUACAGGCAGAGGGAACAGCCAGUGCAAACGCCCUGAAAUGUUACAGAUGAGGGAAAUAAGACACCGAGAGGUUAGGUAACUUACCCAAGAUUUCCCACCCAAAAUGUAAACCCAGAUCAAACUCAAGUUCAUGAUCUUAAUUAACCACUAUUCUUAGUCUAGCAUCAUAUGGUCUGUGGUGUCACAGAUGAGUCCCUGAGAGUAAAAAUUUACUGAGUACUUCCAACAUUGUACAAUGGACAGUUACUCUCCCUGCCUAAACAGGUACAAGAGAGUUGGGUGAAAGGGCUCUGCUCCAUCCCAGCUCCUUCCAGGGCCCUGCUUACUCCUAAUUCUCCACUCUUUUCUUUCUUUUUCUUUUCUUUUUUUUUUUUUUUUGAGAUGGAGUCUCCCUCUGUUGCCCAUGCUGGAGGGCAGUGGUGCGAUCUUGGCUCACUGCAACCUCUGCCUCACAGGUUCAAGCGAUUCUCCUGCCUCAGCCUCCCAAGUAGCUGGGACGACAGGUGCGUGCCACCAUGCCCGGCUAAUUUUUUGUAUUUUUAGUAAAGACAGGGUUUCACCAUAUUAGCCAGGAUGGUCUCAAUCUCCUGACCUCGUGAUCCGCUCACCUCCGCCUCCCAAAGUGCUGGGAUUACAGGCGUGAGCCACUGUGCCCAGCCCUAAUUCUCCCUUCUUUAUACCUGGAAAAACCUCUCAUUUUGUUCCUACCUGUGCUUCCUCAUCAUCUAGCAGUGUGACCAUGGGCAUUUACUUAACCACUCUGAACUUCACGUUUCUUCCUCUAUAAAUGGUGUUACCUCAUGGAGCUGCUGGGAAGAUGAGAUGAGAAAAUGUACAUUAUAAUAAUAGCUACUUUUUUUUUUUUUUUGAGCCAGAGUCUUGCUGUGUCACCCAGGCUGGACUGCAGUGGCACAAUCUUGGCUUACUGUAAUCUCUGCCUCCUAGUUCAAGCGAUUCUCCUGCCUCAGCCUCCCAAGUAGCUGGAAUUCCAUGUGCCUGCCACCACGCCCCACUAAUUUUUUUUUUUUUUUUUUUUUUUUUUUUUUUGGUAUUUUAGUAGAAACGGGGUUUCACCAUUUUGGUCAAGCUGGCCUUGAACUCCUGACCUCGUGAUCCGCCUGCCUCAGCCUCCCAAAGUGCUGGGAUUACAGGCAUGAGCCACCACGCCUGGCCAAUAAUAGCUACUAUUUAUUGGUCGUCUAUCAUAUUCUAGGCACUGUGCUAAGCACUUUACGUAUAUUCUCUUAGUCCUUAUGACAACCACGUGGCUAGGUACAUUAGUAGUGUCCCAUUUUAAAGAAGAUGAAACUGAGACUCAGAGAAAAGUGACUUGUCCAGAUCUACAAUUAAGAAGUAAUACAGUUCAGAGAGGAAGCUGGGAAGGUCUGACCCCAUGGCCCAAGUUCUUAACCACUUAGGCUGCCUUAUGGCUCCACACUCUGCUGUUAUGAUCAAACAACUAAGAAAUGCAUGGAAUUUGAACUUUCUUAGCUGUUCAUGCAGAAUAAUCUUUAGGGGUUUUAGAAGUGGAUUUCUAGGGCUUCUCUUGGUCAAUUUGUACCUAAGGGUUUAAGUGCUCAGAAUGGUGGCAGAGAAGGAAGAGCUUACCUUCUAGCAGGAGACAGACAGUUAGUAUUUAACACCUAGUAAGUAUUUUAACAAGGAAACAAAUAAGGUAAGCCUGGAGCAGCUUACUGUGCCAGAAAGUAAGGUAAGACCUGAAAGACUGAUGAAGACAGGUCAAAAGAACAUAAGACAUCAGCUUACAGGGCCCCCACCAACCUGAUCUAGAUACAUUUUAAGAUCAAAGUGAAUUAUCACAGUAAUGGAUGAUAACACACUGAAUGAGAUCUCGAGUCCAUUCUAAUUCAAACAAACAAAUAAAUACAUUCAUAUAAAAGGAGGAGGGAAAGCUUUUCUUUAAAGUGGAAUGCCAACUAAUAAAUUUAGAAGGAAAUAGGCCGGGUGUGGUGGCUCACACCUGUAAUCCCAGCACUUCAGGAGGCCAACAUGGGCGGAUCACCUGAGGUCAGGAGUUUGAGACCAACUUGGCCAACAUGGUGAAAUCCCAUCUCUACUAAAAAAAAAAAACACACAAAAAUUAGCUGGGCUUAGCGGGCACCUGUAAUCCCAGCUACUCAGGAGGCUGAGGCAGGAGAAUCGCUUGAACCUGGGAGGUGGAGGUUGCAGUGAGCUAAUAUCGUGCCACUGCACUCCAGCCUGGAUGACAGAGCAAGAUUCGGUUUCAAAAAUGAAUAAAUAUAAAUAAAUAAAUUUAGAAGGAAACAAAUAGAAAAAAACAUUUUGCAAGUCCACAGCAAUAACUGACUCAGGUACAAAUCCAUGAAUGUUAAACCAUUGAAUGAAAACUUGAUGAGGAGCAGAAUAAUAUUCACAUAUUCACAAAGGAUCUUCCUACAUAUUUGUUAUAGUUUGCCAAGGGGUAAAAUAGUGCCUUCACAAUGGAGUGCUCUGGGAGUAUCAUCUUUGACAAGUGAUCAAAGUGAACAUUUUCAAUAAUAGGACAAACCGACAUCGUGUGCCUCCUGGUACAACAAGCUGAAAAGAACACCGCAUCACUAAGUACUUUUGCUCAGAAAUGCAUCCCCUAAGUUCAGUCAUGAGGAAACAGAAAAACAAAACAAAACCGAAGAUGUUUCCUUGCCAUUCAAAACUGCAAAACUCAUGAAAGAAAGAAAGGCUGAGACCUGUUUCAGAUUCAAGGACAGUAAGGAGACAAGGCAAACACAACAAGUGAUUCUGGAUUGCAUCCCAGAUUGGAAGAAGAAACUGCCAUGAAAGAUAUUCUUGGACAAUUUGUGAAAGUUGAAUAUGGACUACAUACCAAACGACGCAUAUUUGACAAAAGGUUAACAACUAAUGAGCCAUGCAUGGUGGCUCACGCCAGUAAUCCGAGCACUCUGGGAGGCCGAGACAGGUGGAUCACCUGAGGUCAGGAGUUCGAGACCAGUCUGGCCAACAAGGUAAAACCCUGUCUUUACUAAAAAAAUACAAAAAAUUAGCCAGGCAUGGUGCCACAUGCCUGUAAUCCCAGCUACUCUGGAGGCUGAGGCAGGAAAAUCUCUUGAACCGGGGAGGUGGAGGUUGCAAUGAGCCAAGAUCACGCCAUUACCCUCCAGCCUAGGCGACAGAGUGAGACUCCAUCUCAAAAAAAAAAAAAAAAAAUUAUUCCAGAUGAAGGAUAGACACAGGUUUAUACUAGCAGUCUGGCCAUUUUUUAUAGAAUUACAUUUGUCAUAAUAACUAGUUAAAAACAUAAAUUAAAUACCUAUAGAUAACAAUACCAUAGUAUAUACCUAAAAAUCUGUAAAAAGGGUAGAUCUCAUGUUAAAUGUUCUUACCAGAAUUUUAAAACUAUAUAGACAAGAUAAUUGUGAAUACUGACAACUGUUACGAAGAAGACAAGAUGUAAUCAUACAUUUUUUUUUUUUUUUUUUUUUUAGGCGGGGGAGAUGGAGUCUCGCUCUGUUGCCCAGGCUAGAGUGCAGUGGCACAAUCUCAGCUCACUGCAACUUCGGCCUCCUGGGUUCAAGCGAUUCUCUUGCCUCAGCCUUUUGAGUAGCUGGGACUACAGGUGUGUGCCACCACGCCCAGCUAAUUUUUGUAUUUUUAGUAGAGAUAGGGUUUCACCGUGUUAGCCAGGAUGGUCUCAAUCUCCUGACCUCGUGAUCUGCCUGCCUCAGCCUCCCAAAGUUCUGGGAUUACAGGCAUGAGCCACCGCUCCAGGCCAGGAAGUGUACAUUUUUAAAUAACUAACAGAGUAUAAUUGGAUUAUUUGAAACACAAAGGAUAAAUGCUUGGGGUGAUGGAUACCCCAUUUUUUCUGAUGUGAUUAUCACCCAUUGGAUGCUUGUAUGAAAAUGUCUCAUGUGCUCCAAAAUAUAUACACCUACUAUGUACCCACGAGAAUUAAAAAUAAAAACUUAAAAACCAAAAAUAAAAAAUAUGAUGGAGUAACAGGAUAGAGCUGAUCUCUCCAAAUAUGAUAGCAACUAGCUACAUUUCUUUAGCUACUUAUUUUUAAUUUUCAAUUCGUUAAAAUUAAAUAAAAACAUACAGUUCUGUAGUCACACUUGCCACCUUCUGAGGCUCAGUAGUCUCCUGGAUAGUAGCCACUGCAUUGAAUGUUACAGAUAAAGAAUAUUUCAAUCGCUGCAGAAAGUUCUGUUUGUUGCACGGUGCUGGUGAGAGUUGCAGGAGUGGGAAGGAAAGAGGAGACAGGGAAGCCUCUCUGAGAUGAAGACGUCUGGCUGAGACUUGCAGGGUGGGAAGGAGGCAGUUCUGUGGAGCAGGAAGAUGUGUUUCAGGCAGAGGGGACAAAAGGUGCAGACACACUGAAACAGGAGCACACCUGGAGUUUGAGAGAAAAAGAAAGAACAGGAUGGCUGGAGGAGGGUGAACAAGAGGGAGGGUGUUAAAGGAGGAAGUUGAUCAGGUGGUCAAAGUAACACUUUGUACUCCUGCCAGAUCACUAAAAGGACUGCAACUUCAGUCGGGUGCUCCUUAACACCCUCUCCUGGAAGGCAGCCACUGUGCCGCAAGGAAGCCCUCUAAGGCAGCCCAUGGCAAGAUCUCUACGGAGAUCCCUACAACUGUGCCGGAGCUCCCAGGUGGAAAGCAGGUGGCUUGAAAGAGGCUCCUUCAGCCUCCAGCGGAGAACCCCAGCUGACCCUGCGUGGAGCAGAGACUCACCAUUCCCAUCAAGCCCUGCCCAAAUUACAAAAUCAUGAGCAAAACAAAUGAUGGUGGUUGUUUUAAGAUAAACGAUACAGAGAGACCCAGCUACAAAGUGGUGGAGGGGAAGCGAGUCCUGUAGCUUUCAGCUGCGUUGCAUCAAAUAAUCCAGCUUUGCCACAUCACAGCUGGGAAACGUCAGGCAAAUCUCCCCGCAGUGCAAAAUAUGUUAUAAUCUAGGCCGGGC
rnacentral:lncRNA from 1 species